UGGGGAAUAUUGCACAAUGGGGGAAACCCUGAUGCAGCAACGCCGCGUGAGUGAAGAAGUAUUUCGGUAUGUAAAGCUCUAUCAGCAGGGAAGAUAAUGACGGUACCUGACUAAGAAGCUCCGGCUAAAUACGUGCCAGCAGCCGCGGUAAUACGUAGGGGGCGAGCGUUAUCCGGAUUCAUUGGGCGUAAAGCGCGCGUAGGCGGCCCGGCAGGCCGGGGGUCGAAGCGGGGGGCUCAACCCCCCGAAGCCCCCGGAACCUCCGCGGCUUGGGUCCGGUAGGGGAGGGUGGAACACCCGGUGUAGCGGUGGAAUGCGCAGAUAUCGGGUGGAACACCGGUGGCGAAGGCGGCCCUCUGGGCCGAGACCGACGCUGAGGCGCGAAAGCUGGGGGAGCGAACAGGAUUAGAUACCCUGGUAGUCCCAGCCGUAAACGAUGGACGCUAGGUGUGGGGGGACGAUCUCCCCGUGCCGCAGCCAACGCAUUAAGCGUCCCGCCUGGGGAGUACGGCCGCAAGGCUAAAACUCAAAGGAAUUGACGGGGGCCCGCACAAGCAGCGGAGCAUGUGGCUUAAUUCGAAGCAACGCGAAGAACCUUACCAGGGCUUGACAUAUGGGUGAAGCGGGGGAGACCCCGUGGCCGAGAGGAGCCCAUACAGGUGGUGCAUGGCUGUCGUCAGCUCGUGUCGUGAGAUGUUGGGUUAAGUCCCGCAACGAGCGCAACCCCCGCCGCGUGUUGCCAUCGGGUGAUGCCGGGAACCCACGCGGGACCGCCGCCGUCAAGGCGGAGGAGGGCGGGGACGACGUCAAGUCAUCAUGCCCCUUAUGCCCUGGGCUGCACACGUGCUACAAUGGCCGGUACAGAGGGAUGCCACCCCGCGAGGGGGAGCGGAUCCCGGAAAGCCGGCCCCAGUUCGGAUUGGGGGCUGCAACCCGCCCCCAUGAAGUCGGAGUUGCUAGUAAUCGCGGAUCAGCAUGCCGCGGUGAAUGCGUUCCC
rnacentral:rRNA from 1 species